rnacentral:rRNA from 1 species
UACGUAGGGGGCAAGCGUUGUCCGGAUUUAUUGGGCGUAAAGAGCGUGUAGGCGGCCAGGUAGGUCAGCUGUGAAAACUCGAGGCUCAACCUCGAGACGCCGGUUGAAACCAUCUGGCUAGAGUCCGGAAGGGGCGAGUGGAAUUCCUGGUGUAGCGGUGAAAUGCGCAGAUAUCAGGAGGAACACCAAUGGCGAAGGCAGCUCGCUGGGACGUGACUGACGCUGAGACGCGAAAGCGUGGGGAGCAAACAGG